GCCCACCCCCGGGCGCAGGCCCCGCCAGGCCCCGCCCGCCCACGGCUGCGGCAGCGGGAGAAGCGCCCGGCGGGCCCGGGGCCGCCUCCGGGCCCGGCCUCAUCGCUCCAGGCACGGUCUCAGCGCUGCCUUUAGCCUCGGUGGCACCAUUGCUGCUUUGCAGGUCCCUGUCACAGGUACCCCCGAGGCAGCCUCAUGUCAGCCCAAGCCACAUCCAUGCAUCCAUCCUUGCUCCUUUACCUUCAUGAGGACCCCCCAUACCCCACACAGCACUGCCUGGCACCCCCCAUCUCCGCUCCUCCACCUGCAGAGGCUGGUUCCCAACCUCAGUCCAUCCCAGAGCCCUCCACAACAGGGGUGGCAGCCACCUGGGGGGCUCAAACGGGAGCAACCGAGUGGCAGCCCCAUAUCCCAGUCGCUCCAGGAGUGUUUUCCUUCAGUCAGGCAUUACCCACAGAGCAGUAAGUGCUGGCAGGGACUGGGCGGCCACAUGCCCUCCCCAUGCAGAAAGAGAUGGAAUUCCAGAAGUUUGGAAGAUUCACUUUUACCACGGCCAUAUCCACACACUGCAGCUCCCACCAUCCGUUUGGAUGGACACCAGGGCCCCGGCUGGGCCAGGAGGAGGGGAGGAGGCAAAGCAAGACCUCUGCUAUCCCUUGUGGCAAGAUGUCCCACAGCUCAGAUAGGGCUCUUCCUCCCUCCUUGCUGACCUCUGGUGAAGGACUUGUUGCUUUGGGAGAUGAUUCCGAGUCACAGUGGGCUGCUCAGUGUCACCCUUUGGAACUCCAGGCAGGGAUGGUGCUGAAGGAAGCAGGAAGACUUCAGUUCCUACCGCAUUGCUCUGGCUCUAGGCAAGUCACUUCACCUCUUUGCAUGUCCUCAGGCUGGUAGAUACUGUCUCAGGAGCGUGCUGAAAGAAUUAUCAACCAGGAUUGCCAGGCUGGUUUGCACCACAAGGUGCUACAUGCCAGAGGCUGUUGUUUUGGUUCUCUUCCCUUGGGCAGGAGCAAAACCUAAAGGCCAGAAGCUCCUGCACGGUUUGCCAAAGGUUUGCCAAAGGAAAAGGAGGAACAACGUUUGCAUCCAGCCUCUGGACCACUUGGCUCCUGUUGACAGGCCUCAGUUCUGGUGAAUCCUGCUCCGUGGAGGUAGGAAUGACAGAGCUGGUGGUCUCCAAGCAGCAAUGCUCUGUCUGCUCCUUCCCUUCCUGCCCUGAUGGAAAAGGUGCUUGGAGCAGGGACAACCCAGCUACAUUUUGCUGCAGCUGCUCCAGCAGCAGCUCAAUUGGGGAACAUUUUCCUUGCCUAAAUAAAAGCAUCUUGCAACCAGACAGUGCGAACUGAUCCCAUCCUGCUGCAGAAACCAGGUGCUUUGAGCACGGGCUGCCCACUUCAGCUGCACACACACACACAGAGGGAUG
ensembl:lncRNA